UCCGUAGGCGGGCAAUUAAGUCAGAGGUGAAAUCCCACAGCUCAACUGUGGAACUGCCUUUGAUACUGGUUGUCUUGAGUUACAAUGAAGUAGAUAGAAUAUGUAGUGUAGCGGUGAAAUGCAUAGAUAUUACAUAGAAUACCGAUUGCGAAGGCAGUCUACUAACUGUAUACUGACGCUAAUGGACGAAAGCGUGGGGAGCGAACAGGAUUAGAUACCCUGGUAGUCC
rnacentral:rRNA from 1 species